rnacentral:lncRNA from 1 species
GUAAUCCCAUCCACAUCAAUAGUGUACCCUCCCACACCUUUGCUGCAUGUGUACCAAUGUGUAGUAUGUAUGUACAUGUAGAAAUAAGAGCUUGACUUGGUUUCUUUUAAAAUCAUAAAUGGAAUCCUAGAACUUCAUUUCACUUAAAAUAUUUUAAACAUCUCUUAAAGCCAGUAAAUAUAAACCUCUUGUAGCCUUUAAUUGUUUUAAGACCUUUUCUAGUUUAUGUAAACGUUCCCCUGUCAAUCCAGGGCUGUCUGGAUUGUUUGCCAUUUUCCUGUAAGCCAAGCAGGGCAGCGGUCAUCAUCCCUAGCCCUCUCCCUUCUGCUCGGUUAUAGCAUAAAUCAAAUUUUACUUACUCCUUUGCCCUAAAUUUAUUUAAGAAUAUUUUUCAGCUCAAGAAGUUGGGAGUUUUUAAUGACUGUUGUUGUUUUGCUCUAAUGUCUGUUCAUCAUGUAUCGUUCACUGAAUUGUGCUGUGAGCUCAUAGCAUGCAGAGUUUUCCCCUUGUGAGUUGGUGUAUGAUCAGUUGCUUCUUGGAU